rnacentral:rRNA from 1 species
UACAGAGGGGGCAAGCGUUGUUCGGAAUUACUGGGCGUAAAGGGCGUGUAGGCGGCCCGCUAAGUCGAACGUGAAAUCCCCGGGCUUAACCCGGGAACUGCGUCCGAUACUGGCAGGCUUGAAUCCGGGAGAGGGAUGUGGAAUUCCAGGUGUAGCGGUGAAAUGCGUAGAUAUCUGGAGGAACACCGGUGGCGAAGGCGGCAUCCUGGACCGGUAUUGACGCUGAGGCGCGAAAGCUAGGGGAGCAAACGGG